rnacentral:rRNA from 1 species
GAGUUUGAUCCUGGCUCAGAUUGAACGCUGGCGGCAGGCCUAACACAUGCAAGUCGAGCGGUAGAGAGAAGCUUGCUUCUCUUGAGAGCGGCGGACGGGUGAGUAAUGCCUAGGAAUCUGCCUGGUAGUGGGGGAUAACGCUCGGAAACGGACGCUAAUACCGCAUACGUCCUACGGGAGAAAGCAGGGGACCUUCGGGCCUUGCGCUAUCAGAUGAGCCUAGGUCGGAUUAGCUAGUUGGUGAGGUAAUGGCUCACCAAGGCGACGAUCCGUAACUGGUCUGAGAGGAUGAUCAGUCACACUGGAACUGAGACACGGUCCAGACUCCUACGGGAGGCAGCAGUGGGGAAUAUUGGACAAUGGGCGAAAGCCUGAUCCAGCCAUGCCGCGUGUGUGAAGAAGGUCUUCGGAUUGUAAAGCACUUUAAGUUGGGAGGAAGGGCAGUAAAUUAUACUUUGCUGUUUUGACGUUACCGACAGAAUAAGCACGGCUAACUCUGUGCCAGCCG